UCAAUAUAGUAAGCUCAGUUGAGUCAGUUGUAACUUGUAUCUUUCAUUCUCCUGCCUAGUUGCAGGGGCACAAGAAGCAGUUAUGAGGGCAUUUGCCCCCACAGGCCCCUGCGGGUCAGGUUUGGGCCUGACCAACUUUUGCUCUGUUUAAUCAUUAUUCAUUAUAAUAAAGGCACACCUCUUGAUUAAUUAUGAUUUAAUUUUAAUGGGCCUGGCAACUACAUUUCCUGCCUAUAGCCUGACCAAUUCCUUCCUUCCUUCUAUGUCCCUGUCAUGUAUACAUGUACUGUACAUAUACAUGUUUUACCACUGUUGCAGUAUUAUACAUUCCAAUGUACAAUAUGUACAUGUCAUAUAUUUAAGAUAAAAAUGAGAGUCCCAGUAAGACACUGUUAGCUGAUGGUAUUGGUGAGGAUGAUCAUUAACUGAUAACUGGGCGAUGCUAGCUGAAGGAUAUUACAAGUAUUUCCUGGUCCUCUCUCUCCCUCUUCUAAUGAGGUUGUCUCUCCUUGUCUAACAGAUAUUACUCUCAGACUUGUUCAGUACAGCAGGUCCACUAGAGGUUGUACUGUAGUACACUGUACACUGUAUGCUGUUUGAAGACUUGGUGUUUUAUGAAAGAGUAUCAUGUUUACACAAUUAACAAGUUGAGUAGUAGUAGUCCAGAAAUCUUAGUCUACAAAAGGAAGUCUGUGUCUUACAGCUACUCUGUAAUGAAGUUAAUAGAUACAAUGGCUACUACUUAUAAUAGACUCACUUCAAGGGAUCCUAGCAGCUUCUGGAUAUCAGGACAAUGGAUGACAGAGAGAGGUGGUGGUUCUGAUGUUGCUAGAGGGACUGCUUCUUAUGCCCUCCUGGAAAAUGGUGACAGGCAUUGUCUCCAUGGCUAUAAGUGGCUCAGUUCAGCCAGUGACAGCCACUGAUGCUGAUAUGACAUUUACAUUAGCUGAUGUACAAGAGGAAUCUGGUCAAGUGACUGAUGUACUGAAGGUAUCUCAUUAUUUUACAUUAAAGCAAGAGACACUCAUGGAUCAAUAAAUAACAUUAGAAUAAAGAGAUUAAAGAACAAGCUAGGGACCCGUCAGUUACCAACAGCUCAAUUGCUAUUGGAUGGAACAAUGGCUCAACUGAUUGGAGAGAAAGGGCAUGGGAAUAUCACUUAUAUCACCAAUGCUCCUUAUAACCCGCUGGUAUAAUACAAUGUCAGCAGUAGCUACUAUGAGACGGAGUUUAAAUUGGGAAGAAGCGACAGUCAAGUACUCUGAAUUUGCUCAGGAGGAAAAACUUUGUGAAAAGUUUCAGAUGAAUAAAUGGUUGCAACCACUUCAAGACUAUUGCAAACAAGCAAUGAAAUAAGGGAAAGGAAGCAUUAGUAUGUCAGAGUAAUUCUGAGAGCAAGGGGUGUCUCAUUAAACAUCAUGAAAAUUUUCUACUGUGUCUACAAGCAUCACUAGAGUCAAUUUCUCAUGCUGUUUUGAAGACUGAAUUGAAUGAUUACCCUGGUUCUCUGUGUCAAUUUUUAAUGUUAAAGAGUAUGAUGAGAUUAUUGCAUAUGAUUGUAUGAUUAGAGCUGUUAACACAGCUGCAGGACUGACUGAAUAUUUUGUGAUCUUUCGUGUGCCAGAAUUGUUUUCAGAGGCAUCAAAAUUCAUAUCAGAAUUUGAUUUUACGUUGAAUUGGCUUAUCUUAAAAACAAUGACAAACUUGAAACUAUUACGGUCAUUGUUAUGUCAUUGAAAUUGAUGAUAAGAAUAUACGUGACAUGGCUAUUGCCCAUUCACGUAAGAUUGCUAGGAGUGUUGCAGCUGCUAAAGUUUUACAGAAAUUGAAACAAACAGAUACAACUAAUGGGCCACCAGUUGAUGAGAGUUGCAGUGUUAAUGAGAAGUUUAAGAAGCAUUUUAAUAUAUCACCAAGAAUAAAGGAACCAAAAACCAGCAGCAAAGAGAAUACCAGAGACAAUGUGGUAGUACUGUAUGACUACAUAGAGAUCGAGUAUCUAGACAUGUACAUUGUUUUGAUUGAUUAUUGCCCUUAUUGUUUUAGACUUUAUGCUUAUUUUGCCAAAUACAGAAAUGAAAUAUGAUUUGUAAUGGUUAGA